rnacentral:snRNA from 1 species
UUCUCUUUUACUUUUUCU